GACGAACGCUGGCGGCGUGCCUAAUACAUGCAAGUCGAGCGGACGGAUGGGAGCUUGCUCCCAGACCGUCAGCGGCGGACGGGUGAGUAACCCGGGGGCAACCUGCCUGUAAGACUGGGAUAACUCCGGGAAACCGGGGCCUACACCCGAAAACUCUUUCGCUCACAGGUGAGAAAGCUUAAAGAUGGCAUCUCGCUAUCAUUAACACAUGGCCCCGCGACGCAUUAGCUAGUUGGUGAGGUAACGGUUCACCAAGGCGACGAUGCGAAGCCGACCUGAGAGGGUGAUCGGCCACACUGGAACUGAGACACGGCCCAGACUCCUACGGGAGGCAGCAGUAGGGAAUCUUCCGCAAUGGACGAAAGUCUGACGGAGCAACGCCGCGUGAGUGAUGAAGGUUUUCGGAUCGUAAAACUCUGUUGUCAGGGAAGAACAAAUGCCGGAGUAACUGCGAGUAUCUUGACGGUACCUGAACAGAAAGCCACGGCUAACUACGUG
rnacentral:rRNA from 1 species